rnacentral:rRNA from 1 species
UGAAUACGAGACGCUAAGGCGUCGAAGUAGUGUAUGUCAUACUUCCAAGAAAAGCUUGCACUGUCAUAAGUAAAAAAUGCCUGUACCAUAACCGACACAGGUGGGUAGGUAGAGUAUACUAAGGGGCGCGAGAUAACUCUCUCUAAGGAACUCGGCAAAAUAACUCCGUAACUUCGGGAGAAGGAGUACCUUAUUCUAUAAGGUUGCAAUAACAAGAUCCAAGCAACUGUUUAUCAAAAACACAGGUCUCCGCUAAGUCGUAAGACGAUGUAUGGGGGCUGACGCCUGCCCAGUGCCAGAAGGUUAAAGAAGUCGGUUAGCAUUAGCGAAGCUGGUAACUGAAGCCCUGGUGAACGGCGGCCGUAACGAUAACGGUCCUAAGGUAGCGAAAUUCCUUGUCGGGUAAGUUCCGACCCGCACGAAAGGCGUAAUGAUUUGGAUACUGUCUCGGAGAGGGGCUCGGUGAAAUAGACUUGUCUGUGAAGAUGCGGACUACCUGCACCAGGACAGAAAGACCCUAUGAAGCUUUACUGUAACUUGAAAUUGAAAUUGGACUUUAUUCGCGCAGUAUAGGUGGGAGGUGUUGAUUAUAAUCUUGCGGGAUUAUUGGAGCCAUCAGUGAGAUACCACUCUUGUAAUGUUAGAUUUCUAACUUUGAAUCAUUAUCUGGUCAAAGGACAGUUUCAGGCGGGCAGUUUGACUGGGGCGGUCGCCUCCCAAACGGUAACGGAGGCGUACAAAGGUUUCCUCUGAACGGGUAGAAAUCGUAUCUAGAGUGUAAAGGCAUAAGGAAGCUUGACUGUGAGACCUACAAGUCGAACAGGGACGAAAGUCGGUCUUAGUGAUCUGACGGUACUGAGUGGAAAGGCCGUCACUCAACGGAUAAAAGUUACUCUAAGGAUAACAGGCUGAUCUCCCCCAAGAGUUCACAUCGACGGGGAGGUUUGGCACCUCGAUGUCGGCUCAUCGCAUCCUGGGGCGGUAGUACGUCCCAAGGGUUGGGCUGUUCGCCCAUGAAAGCGGUACGCGAGCUGGGUUCAGAACGUCGUGAGACAGUUCGGUCCAUAUCCGGUGUAGGCGUUAGAAUAUUGAGAGGAGCCUUCUUUAGUACGAGAGGACCGAGAAGGACAUACCUCUGGUGUACCAGUUAUCGUGCCAACGGUAAGCGCUGGGUAGCUAUGUAUGGAGUGGAUAACCGCUGAAAGCAUCUAAGUGGGAAGCCCACCUCGAGAUAAGUAUUCCC